GUUUGCCAUGGGAAGGCAAUCUACGACUCCCUGUCUCUUAAUGUCCCACGUGGGAUCCACAGGGGUAGCCUGCCACGACUUGUGUUUGGGUCCCAAUGGCGGUCCUUAUCAUGGCUGUCCCCAUUGUCUGGCUGAGUUGCCCUCUCAGGGUAGGAUCGUAUGGGGCCAUUCACGUCCUAUGUCAGCUAGUGGACGACUCAUGUGCGUUUUCUCAAGAUUCUGGCAUUGCUAAGGAUCUCUUGGUCUGCAGUCUACCAAGAGGAGUAUACCGUACGGGAGCCCUAUCUCUCGGCAGUUUUUUCCGCUUACAGUUUCCCCCCAGUACAUCUUGUAUUUCAUCGCGUUCUGACGUCAUGGUAUCGACGUGUCUUCUUCCUUCUUGCCGUUCAGUACAUCGGCUUCUGCACAACACAUAUUUCAUUUUUAUUCGUCCUCUGUGUCGUACCCCUAUUCUCCGGAUAGGCCACAGCUCUGUUGACAGAUUGUACACGACCAUGUAGAUCCAGGAUCUGGUUCUUUCGUCCGUCUACUCAUGGACAGCUGUUUAUUUCUGCGUACGGCCGUUUUGGACUGUUUCUGCAUCUUCGCUCGCCCGUUGGAUUUGGUGGAUCCUCUCAUUGACUGACCUUGAGUUCCUCUGGGACACUUUUGGUUCGGGGUGCUGUCACCUCAACAAUUUUGGAAGCCGUUGGGUCCCUUCUGCAUUUUCCCUACACCGCUGCUUGGUUUAGGGAAUCAGUUUUUCCAUUCUCCUUUAUUUCAGUCCUCUAUCUCAUAUUGCUUCUGGUUCUACUAUUUGGGCGUUAAAAUUGCAAAUAUGAAGCCUCCUGUCCUGCCAUAAAAUUAGGGAUUAUUCUAGCCUCGGUGAGGGAAUAAUCUAAAUUUUAUUAAAGACAGGAGGCGAAUAUUUCCCCCCCUUUUUUUUUACGUUCCCUCCCUGGAUCUGGGUUUUAUUCUAUUAUAAAUAAUUGGGGAUAUUGUUUAUGUUUUGUGAAUGCAUGGUUUUACAUAAUAAAGGUUAUUUCUAAUAUUCAGUGAUGGUUGUCCGUGUGCGUUUUAUUCAUCAUGUUUGUGUUGUAAUUAUGUUUCG